rnacentral:ncRNA from 1 species
AUAUAGGGAACAAUGAAGUAUAACCUGUAUUUGGGCACUUGGGUUAUAUGGAGUUAGUAGUGCAACCGACCUCU